rnacentral:rRNA from 1 species
ACCCUCCUCAACUCACAAGGU